CAGAGGGUAGUUUAUGUAAAAUUUUAAUUUUGGGAAUUAGUGAAGGGGGUACCCUCCUCUGA
rnacentral:tRNA from 1 species